UACGUAGGGCGCAAGCGUUGUCCGGAAUUAUUGGGCGUAAAGAGCGUGUAGGCGGCCAGGUAGGUCAGCUGUGAAAACUCGAGGCUCAACCUCGAGACGCCGGUUGAAACCAUCUGGCUAGAGUCCGGAAGAGGAGAGUGGAAUUCCUGGUGUAGCGGUGAAAUGCGCAGAGAUCGGGAGGAACACCCGUAGCGAAGGCGGCACUCUGGGCCGGUACUGACGCUGAGGAGCGAAAGCGUGGGGAGCAAACAGG
rnacentral:rRNA from 1 species